AGCGAACGCUGGCGGCAGGCCUAACACAUGCAAGUCGAACGAACCUUUCGGGGUUAGUGGCGGACGGGUGAGUAACACGUGGGAACGUGCCUUUAGGUUCGGAAUAACUCAGGGAAACUUGUGCUAAUACCGAAUGUGCCCUUCGGGGGAAAGAUUAAUCGCCUUUAGAGCGGCCCGCGUCUGAUUAGCUAGUUGGUUGAGGUAAUGGCUCACCAAGGCGACGAUCAGUAGCUGGUCUGAGAGGAUGAUCAGCCACAUUGGGACUGAGACACGGCCCAAACUCCUACGGGAAGCAGCAGUGGGGAAUCUUGCGCAAUGGGCGAAAGCCUGACGCAGCCAUGCCGCGUGAAUGAUGAAGGUCUUAGGAUUGUAAAAUUCUUUCACCGGGGACGAUAAUGACGGUAACCGGAGAAGAAGCCCCGGCUAACUUCGUG
rnacentral:rRNA from 1 species